UCCAAGACUUUUUAUUUUCAUCAUCACUGUAUCAAAUUUUUUUUCUUUAUUUUUUCAUAGUUCAUCAUCACUGCACUCCUUCUUCUUUUCUUUGUUCACUUGUUCAGGAAUCUCACCAAAAGACUUGAGACUUUUUCAAACUCUCCAAGAUUUUUUACUUUCAUCAUCAUUAUAUCAGUUCUUCUUCUUCUUCUUCUUCUUCUUCUUCU
rnacentral:lncRNA from 1 species